AGCUCUAAUAGCGUAUACUAAAGUUGUUGCAGUUAAAAAGCUCGUAGUUGAAGUUCAGAACUAGGAGACGUUGGUCGGGCGUAUGCUCUGUACCAGCUUUCCUGUUCUCCCUAUGGGAUACUCACCUUUACUCUUAACUGGGCGAAGGUAAAAGCAUUGUAUGGUUGGGGCAACCUGGUCAUGCAGUGUGGAGUUCCCAUUCGUUUACUUUGAAUAAAUUAGGGUGUUCAAAGCAGGCAAAUAAAGAGCCUUGAAUACUACAGCAUGGGAUAACGGAAUACGAUUUCGGUUCAUAUUUCGUUGGUUUCUGGAGCCGAAGUAAUGAUUAAAAGGGAUAGUUGGGGGCAUUAGUAUUUAAUUGUCAGAGGUGAAAUUCUUGGAUUUAUGAAAGACUAACUUCUGCGAAAGCAUUUGCCAAGGAUGUUUUCA
rnacentral:rRNA from 1 species